ensembl:miRNA MIR99A microRNA 99a
AGCCACUUGUCAUUAACCCGUAGAUCCGAUCUUGUGAUAAGUUUAAUGGCAC